ACGGUGAUGGCGGAAAUGGUAGACGCGUUAGAUUCAGGUUCUAAUGGUUAACACCUUGUGGGUUCGAGUCCCAUUCACCGUACCA
rnacentral:tRNA from 1 species